GGGGAUUGUGGAAGAGGCGCAUAAUGUGAGGGUGGUGGUUUCAGGCGAGAAGGUGAUAGUGCUAGCACAUGGGUUCGACACCGAUCAGUGCCCU
rnacentral:tRNA from 1 species